GGUUAAGUGGCUCGCCGA
rnacentral:rRNA from 1 species